GGCGCUUAUCAAGAUCCUUCGGAUCGAACCUGUGCAUAUGAGAAAUUCGGAGUAAACUCUUCAACUCACCUCCCUCCUGUCUCCCCUCCCAAGGGGCGCAGUGCACAGGUCUGCCCGUGAGGGUUUGACGCGAUCUCGUGUCUGCAAUUGGCAUCAGAAAAGCAGGAGCAGGGUCGCGCAGUCUUCGCGCAAGCGGAAUGCCGACACCUGUUAUUUCCUCUGGGAGAGCCGUUGCGAAGAUUGUGUGGGCUACGGCCUGACACUUAAGUGCAAUACGCAGCGUACCCUCUCUUCUUCCUCGGUGAAAGCUGGGGAGGACGGGGGGUACAAUUCGAUUCCGAUUACUCUGAUGGGGAC
rnacentral:RNase_P_RNA from 2 species